CAGGUUCGCCUCUCCUUCCUAUCCCAAACAGUCACAUUCGCCAGCUGCCAAGCAACUACUGAAAAUAUAAGAAUGCUCAGAUGAUAAUUACUGAAGCAUCAUGAUAUGUAUCAUUCACAAUAUAAACAUUUUGGCCUCCUUGACCUCAAAAUAAAGCUACAUCAUGCACUGCAGGGAAUCACAUCAAGUUACAGGUAUUACACAUCCAUCAGUGCAGAGGAAGGAAGUCAGGACAGGGGCAGGGGUAAGGAAAAUUUAUAUUUUUAUACUAUUCCAUGGUAUAUUUCACAACAAGUAGGUAUUUACUCCAAAAACUACAUUUUCAAAAAGUAGUACCUAUAAUAUGCCAUACAACUAGGUAAUUUUUCCUUCAACUUCACCUUCCAUACUAAAUGGGGGUUAAGGAGCAGAGAAAGUGCAGCUUGUAAGUUUAGAGAAUACUGGAGGAAAAAUAUGCAAGGAAAAAUCUCUUUCCAAAUUAUCUCUUGCUUUGCUCAAAAAAUAUAACUGUACCAUUGUAUUUGCAUCAUUUUCAAUCAUGUCAGAUAUAAUAACUAAACUGUUAUUUUCUUACAGUUUUCAAACUGUAAGAUGAAAAAAUAAAAUUCCUAAUUAGUAAAAUAGUAAACUGUAAACCAAUCACAUUAUUAAUAAAUUUUUCCUAGAGUAUGGAAGGUGCUUGUUAUACCAGAACAUGCCCUCUAUAAAUGCAAAAGAAACAAGCCUCAGAGAUUUCGAUUCAGUAAGGUAUUUGGGGAUUGCUCCCAAUUUGGAAUUCAAAGCUAUGUACCAGAACAUAAAAUAUGCAUGCCAUUAUUCUUUUCAGAAAUUUGUUAUUAAG